UAGGGAAUCUUCGGCAAUGGACGACAGUCUGACCGAGCAACGCCGCGUGAGUGAAGAAGGUUUUCGGAUCGUAAAACUCUGUUGUUAGAGAAGAACAAGGACGUUAGUAACUGAACGUCCCCUGACGGUAUCUAACCAGAAAGCCACGGCUAACUACGUGCCAGCAGCCGCGGUAAUACGUAGGUGGCAAGCGUUGUCCGGAUUUAUUGGGCGUAAAGCGAGCGCAGGCGGUUUCUUAAGUCUGAUGUGAAAGCCCCCGGCUCAACCGGGGAGGGUCAUUGGAAACUGGGAGACUUGAGUGCAGAAGAGGAGGGUGGAAUUCCAUGUGUAGCGGGGAAAUGCGUGGAUAUAUGGAGGAACACCAGUGGCGAAGGCGGCUCUCUGGUCUGUAACUGACGCUGAGGCUCGAAAGCGUGGGGAGCAAACAGG
rnacentral:rRNA from 1 species